ACAACCUUCAGCCCGUAGUAGAUGGAAAAAGGACAUGUCUUCCCUUUGGAGGCAAUCAGUGGGUGCAGUCAGGGGAGACCUGGAUGGCAGGAGGAUGGGAGAGUAGCUUCUGAUUUACCUGUUGGGAACAUUCCAUGUGGACGGAGUACAAUGCGUGGCCUUCGGAGCCUGGCUCCUUUCACGACCAUAGCGUCCCCAGGCCUCAUCAUGUUUCAGUACCCAGGUCCUUUCUAUGGCUGAAUAAUAUUCCGUGGGAUGGACACACGGCAGGUGUUUGUAGAGUCAUUCCCUGAUGGGCCUUCGGGGUGAUUCCACUGUUGGGACACCGUGACUGUCACAGAGGAGAAAGAGAGAGAGGCAGAGACAUAGGCAGAGGGAGAAGCAGGCU